CCGCCGCUGCCGUUGUUCGCGUAGGAGUCGGGAUUUUGCGGGAGGCCGCGCACUCCCUUAAGAGUCGCUGAGCGUGAUGUAAUCAGGGCGGCACGUGGCGGUCGUGCGCACACUCCAAAGCGUGUGUAGCUGACCUCCCCGUGUCAAAGAAGGUCGCUGACCACAAAUGCUUCAUCUUUUUAUAGAAUGCAGGUGGAAUUUUGAGGGCGACAGUGAGUUACGUCUGAAGGACGGGACAGCAGUGACAGCCUCUCCGGGCACACGUCACGGACAGUGACGAUACGUCAGCCUCCCUACCUCAAAGAGCACGUAGCCGAAGCCUCUGCUGGCUCCUGUAUCCGGAUCCCGCACGACCCUUACAGCCACAGUGUUCCCACAGUCCAGAAAGUGCUUCUCAACCGCAGAUUCUUCAGCUUCUAAAGACAGAUUCAACCCCAGUGGAAGUGAGGACUUGGAAUCGCCUUAGGAAGCUGGCGAUGUUUCCUAAUAUACCAAGGGGCUUCCCUGGUGGUGCAGUGGUUGAGAGUCUGCCUGCCAAUGCAGGGGACACGGGUUCGAGCCCUGGUCUGGGAAGAUCCCACAUGCCACGGAGCAGCUGGGCCCGUGAGCCACAAGUACUGAGCCUGCGCGUCUGGAGCCUGUGCUCCGCAACAAGAGAGGCCGCGAUAGUGAGAGGCCCGCACACCGCGAUGAAGAGUGGCCCCCACUUGCCGCAACUAGAGAAAGCCCUCGCACAGAAACGAAGACCCAACACAGCCAAAAAUAAAUAAAUAAAUAAAUAUUAAA